GAUGAACGCUGGCGGCGUGCCUAAUACAUGCAAGUCGAGCGAACAGACGAGGAGCUUGCUCCUUUGACGUUAGCGGCGGACGGGUGAGUAACACGUAGGUAACCUACCUAUAAGACUGGGAUAACUUCGGGAAACCGGAGCUAAUACCGGAUAAUAUUACGAACCGCAUGGUUCGAUAGUGAAAGAUGGCUUUGCUGUCACUUAUAGAUGGACCCGCGCCGUAUUAGCUAGUUGGUAAGGUAACGGCUUACCAAGGCAACGAUACGUAGCCGACCUGAGAGGGUGAUCGGCCACACUGGAACUGAGACACGGUCCAGACUCCUACGGGAGGCAGCAGUAGGGAAUCUUCCGCAAAGGGCGAAAGCCUGACGGAGCAACGCCGCGUGAGUGAUGAAGGUCUUCGGAUCGUAAAACUCUGUUAUUAGGGAAGAACAAACGUGUAAGUAACUGUGCACGUCUUGACGGUACCUAAUCAGAAAGCCACGGCUAACUACGUG
rnacentral:rRNA from 1 species